GCCUGAGCGGCAGGUAAGACACCCGCAUGGCUGCCAGCAACGGAGGGCAGUUUGUUGGGUGUCGCUCUGGAGGGGUCAGAAAGGGGAACCCGCCGCGGCUGCUUGAAGAAGCUCUGGAUGUGACAGCCAUCUAGGUUGGUGGCCAACACUGCCUCCUGUGGAAGCGAGUUCCAUAGUCUUGUGUGAAGAAGAAGUACUUUCCUUGAAUCUUCUAACAUACAGUUUCUUUGGAUGACCAAGAGUUCUAGUACGGCUUAAUGAUGCAGAGCUAGAGGAUGUCUACCAUGGUCUUUAAAUUCCUCAGAAAUUGGUAGCUUCAGUGUUUGGGCAUGAAGAUGGUACCUUUAAUCACCCUUUGAACUGGUGCCUGCAAUAACAAAUCAAACAAUGUAUAACAUAUGACUUUGUGGAAGACAUCCAAGCUUGGUACUCAGAUGACACAAAGGGGUUCUGUCUCGUUUUCACAAGAUUGUCCCAUUUUCUUCUGGAUGAUAUGAAACUAACUAUAUCAUUGGCUCCCAUUAUUCUUGAUGAAGAAAUCCGAACCUUUAAAAGGAGAAGCAACCUUUCACAUGGAGCAAGUACCUGCAGACUUUGCUUAUGGUCAGUGUGGCUAUGUGCAUACCCUGUUUCAAUGACCUUGUGUGAGAUACUUGCUUGUGUAAGUUAUUUGCUUGAUGGCACACAACUUGGCAUUGUAUCUGAGAUUUCACCUCAAUGGUGCUUUAAAAAAUAAUCUUAAGAAAAUAUUUGGAAUUAGCUAAUUAACAAACAUUAUACAUAGACAAAAGGAGGAAAACGUAUCACUACCCUUAGCAGAAAUGUAUUAAUCGCUAUUGUGAUAAAUGCAUUAAUUACCAGAAAACGUAUUUUAGACAACAGCCACUGAAACAUCCUAUUUUUGUUAUUUAAUCAUUUGCAGUAUAUCUAUUUCUUUGAACAUAUUUGAUAUAUAUACUUACUCUCUCUUUUUGGAAAUAAAAAGUAUUACAAAAAUAAAAAUAGUUUCUAGUCCUCAUAGUGUAUAACGUUUAAGUUGGAAAUGAGACUGGGGGCUGUUAAGGGAUCUGGGAAGAAUUUCAGUUGAACAAAGAAUCAGGAUUGAUACCGCACUCACCUAUUCUCUCUCUAUAUCCACUAUAUUUCUUCUCACUGAAACUGUUUAUAUCCAAAUUCCAUGCUCUUCUUCUUCCUUCACUGGCCACUACCAUCCCAUUCCUAACUAGAAAACUCUAAAACUCUGGACUCUUAUUAGACUCUGACUAAAAUGUUCUUCUAGUAAAGGCUUAC